UACGAAGGGGGCUAGCGUUGUUCGGAAUUACUGGGCGUAAAGGGCGUGUAGGCGGCUAUGUAAGUCGGGCGUGAAAUCCCACGGCUCAACCGUGGAAGUGCACCCGAAACUGCGUAGCUAGAGUCCUGGAGAGGAAGGUGGAAUGCUUGGUGUAGAGGUGAAAUUCGUAGAUAUCAAGCGGAACACCGGUGGCGAAGGCGGCCUUCUGGACGAUGACUGACGUUGAGACGCGAAAGCGUGGGGAGCAAACAGG
rnacentral:rRNA from 1 species